AAACCCGGCACAGAAGCAGAGUCGCCUUUCGGAGCUUCCACUUGUAACACGGCCCCUCACACAUGUAGUCCUUUGGUGCAGGGGAGAGGAACAUAGGUCGGCCCUGGAGAAGUUGUAGGCUCAGGUAGACCGGUGAGGGAGUGUCCCAUCAGCCUCAGGAAGGCACUCAGAGAUGCACGGAGCAGAACCUCUUUCCCAGACGUUAGAGACGCCCCUCCCCCUCCAGGGACCGUUACCUGUCGCCUCCUGAAGGAUUGAUCUGGGAUUUUCUCCAAAGUGGCCUGAGGCACCAUUUGUCUACAGCACGUUUUCUUCUGGCCUCAGAAGCAUGUCUGUGGACUUGCUGUAGACUCCACACCCUUCAGUAUGGCAACACAACUACUUAAUCCUUAGAGGAUGUGCAGCCAAUCAAGGUGACUAGAGGCCUGCCAGAAGAGUUUACUAAAAGAUUUCAUUUCUUGGGUAUUCAGAAACCCUUGGAACCUUGAAACCCUUGGACAGACGUUACAGACAUGAGCUGCUGUGUGGGUGCUGGGAAAUGAACUCAGGUCUUCUGGAAGAACAGCCUGGCUUCCUGACUCAUCAUUCUAGCCCCUGGAUUACUUUUCAAGACAUUUCUCAUCUGUGCCUUAAAGAAUACUAGAAUUGUAUCUUAUAAGUAUACCUUAAAGGGCAUUGUUUCCUGGAAGAAAGGUUUAUUGCAUACCAAAAUCAAUAGUCUAAAAGUAAUUAAAAUGUUUAUAAUGUAUGCAAAAGAGGCAAAUGUGUAUGAAAGUUUUCAUAUGCUUCGUCAUAGUAUUCAAGAAAUUCUGGAGAAUUUCAGAUUUUCAAGAUUGCGGACAAGUAAUCUUUUCGGUUUUCUAAUUUUUGUUUUCUUUCAGGUUUUUGGAAGGUUUACUUUCUAUUACUGCC
ensembl:lncRNA